AGUAGAGCAUUAUACGGCGAAACUGCGAAUGGCUCAUUAUAUAAGUUAUCGUUUAUUUGAUAGUACCUUACUACUUGGAUAACCGUGGUAAUUCUAGAGCUAAUACAUGCUAAAAAUCCCGACUUCGGAAGGGAUGUAUUUAUUAGAUUAAAAACCAAUGCCCUUCGGGGCUCCUUGGUGAUUCAUGAUAACUUCGCGAAUCGCAUGGCCUUGCGCCGGCGAUGGUUCAUUCAAAUUUCUUCCCUAUCAACUUUCGAUGUUUGGGUAUUGGCCAAACAUGGUUGCAACGGGUAACGGAGGGUUAGGGCUCGACCCCGGAGAAGGAGCCUGAGAAACGGCUACUACAUCCAAGGAAGGCAGCAGGCGCGCAAAUUACCCAAUCCCGACACGGGGAGGUAGUGACAAUAAAUACUGAUACAGGGCUCUUUAGGGUCUUGUAAUUGGAAUGAGUACAAUUUAAAUCCCUUAACGAGGAACAAUUGGAGGGCAAGUCUGGUGCCAGCAGCCGCGGUAAUUCCAGCUCCAAUAGCGUAUAUUAAAGUUGUUGUGGUUAAAAAGCUCGUAGUUGAACCUUGGGCCUGGCUGGCCGGUCCGCCUCACCGCGUGCACUGGUCCGGCCGGGCCUUUCCCUCUGUGGAACCCCAUGCCCUUCACUGGGCGUGGCGGGGAAACAGGACUUUUACUUUGAAAAAAUUAGAGUGCUCCAGGCAGGCCUAUGCUCGAAUACAUUAGCAUGGAAUAAUAAAAUAGGACGUGCGGUUCUAUUUUGUUGGUUUCUAGGACCGCCGUAAUGAUUAAUAGGGACAGUCGGGGGCAUCAGUAUUCAAUUGUCAGAGGUGAAAUUCUUGGAUUUAUUGAAGACUAACUACUGCGAAAGCAUUUGCCAAGGAUGUUUUCAUUAAUCAGGAACGAAAGUUAAGGGGAUCGAAGACGAUCAGAUACCGUCGUAGUCUUAACCGUAAACGAUGCCGACUAGG
rnacentral:rRNA from 1 species